UACGUAGGGUGCAAGCGUUGUCCGGAAUUAUUGGGCGUAAAGCGCUCGUAGGCGGUUUGUCACGUCGGAUGUGAAAACCCGAGGCUUAACCUCGGGCCUGCAUUCGAUACGGGCUGACUAGAGUUCGGUAGGGGAGACUGGAAUUCCUGGUGUAGCGGUGAAAUGCGCAGAUAUCAGGAGGAACACCGGUGGCGAAGGCGGGUCUCUGGGCCGAUACUGACGCUGAGGAGCGAAAGCGUGGGGAGCGAACAGG
rnacentral:rRNA from 1 species